UACGGGGGAGCAAGCGUUGUUCGGAUUUACUGGGCGUAAAGGGCGCGUAGGCGGUCGUGACAAGUCACUUGUGAAAUCUCCGGGCUUAACUCGGAACGGUCAAGUGAUACUGUCGGACUAGAGUACAGAAGGGGCAACUGGAAUUCUCGGUGUAGCGGUGAAAUGCGUAGAUAUCGGGAGGAACACCAGUGGCGAAGGCGACUUCCUGGCCUGUUCUUGACGCUGAGGCGCGAAAGCUAGGGGAGCAAACGGGG
rnacentral:rRNA from 1 species